rnacentral:rRNA from 1 species
AUUGAACGCUGGCGGCAGGCCUAACACAUGCAAGUCGAACGAGUGGCGGACGGGUGAGUAAUGUCUGGGAAACUGCCCGAUGGGGGGGGAUAACUACUGGAAACGGUAGCUACUACCGCAUACCGUGGUUUGUGCCCAGCUGGGAUGAGCUAGUAGGUGGGGUAUCGCAUCACCUAGGCGACGAUCCCUAGCUGGUCUGAGAGGAGGACCAGCAAAACUGGAACUGAGACACGGCCCAGACUCCUACGGGAGGCAGCAGUAGGGAAUAUUGGACAAUGGGCGCAAGCCUGAUGCAGCCAUGCCGCGUGAAUGAAGAAGGCCUUCGGGUUGUAAAGCACUUUCAUCGAGGAGGCGUUACUCGCAGAAGAAGCACCGGCUAACUCCGUGCCAGCAGCCGCGGUAAUUC